GUCUUGCUCUGUCGCCCAGGCUGGAGUGCAGUGGCAUGAUCUUGGCUCACUGCAACCUCCACUUCCUGUGCUCAAGCGAUCCUUGUGCCUCAGCCUCCUGAGUAGCUGGGACUACAGGUGCACGCCACCAUGCCUGGCUAAUCUGUGCAUUUUCAGUAGAGACGGGGUUUCACUAUGUUGGCCAGGCUGGUCUCAAACUCCUGACUUCAGGUGAUCUGCCCGCCUUGGCCUCCCAAAGUGUGGGAUUACAGGUGUGAGCCACCACACCUGGCCUCAGUGUAAAAUUUUUGUUCCUCAUGUCCCUCAUGUAAGACAGAGGUAUAUAGAAGUGCCUAUCUGAGCACACAGCAGGGUCUCCUAGCCCAAAUACAGGAGUGAGGGGAGACUUCCUGGAGGAGAUAAUUCUGAGCUGAGUCUUAAGGGUUUAUAGGAAUUAUUCCGAUGGAGAAGAGGUUAAGGAUUGCCACACAAAAGAUGCAACUAGAUCAAAGACUUUGAGAGUGAGAGGGAACAUGGACAAUUGAGGAGCUGCCAGUAAUUCAGUGUGGCUGAAGCUCAAAUUCACGAUGGAAAGUUGAAGGAGAUGAUGCUGGAAAGACACAAAUGUACCAGAUGAUAAAGGACCUUGCAUGUCACACUGUGGGAGUUUAGAUACAAGGUGAACAUAAGAGUUGUGAUGACUCAGGUUUUCAACUUGGGUCACUGGUGAGGAGUGGGGACAUAAGGGGCAAUGCAGAAGAAAGAGCUUUGGAUGAUAAUGGUGGGUUUAUGUUUUGACAUAAUGAGUGCAGGCAUGUCUUGGAGACAGCUGGAUAUACGAGUCUGGAGAUCAGAAGAGAAAUUGGUCAAGAUAAUGAAUGUGGGAGUUGUGAACAUACAGCUUGUAUCCAUGGGUAGGGACGAGUCCACUGCAGGAGAGCGUAUAGAAUGAAAAGAGAACAAAGCUAAGAAUAGAAUCCAGAGAAACUGUUUUCUUUAAAGAAUAAAUCAGUGGAGGAGAAAAUGAAAAUCUUGUGUCAUGGUGCCAAGGAAAAAAGAAGUUUCAAGAAGACAGAUUGGGGCAGCAAUUGCAAAUACCACAGAGAGGACAAAUUAAUUAAGCAUGAAUUCAUGAACAAGGGGAUCAUUACUAUUACCAAAAAUGUUGCACAGCAGCAGAGAGAAUAAUGACAGUGACCACGUUUGAGCGUCAUCUUGGUGUGUCAGUGGCAUCAUGGACUAGGAGUUGUGAACGAAAUAAAGACUGCGACACUUUCGUCUUCUUUUGGAACCGGGAUAGGA
rnacentral:lncRNA from 10 species